AUUUGAUAGCACGUCCACACCGACAUUAAUCUGACGAAAAACGUGCAUUGGAAAAUGCUGUAAGCCGAUUUCUUCAUAUUGUACACAAUUUAUUUGGUAGCCGGUCUACACCGAACUAAAUCUGUCGACAAACGUGCACUGGACAAUACAGCACUCAGAAGGAUGGAUGCAGUUCCAGGGCGAAAGGCGAG